rnacentral:rRNA from 1 species
UACCAUGGUUUUAACGGGUAACGGGGAAUUAGGGUUCGAUUCCGGAGAGGGAGCCUGAGAAACGGCUACCACAUCCAAGGAAGGCAGCAGGCGCGCAAAUUACCCAAUCCCGACACGGGGAGGUAGUGACAAUAAAUAACAAUAUGGGGCUCUUACGAGUCUUGUAAUUGGAAUGAGUACAAUUUAAAUCUCUUAACGAGGAACAAUUGGAGGGCAAGUCUGGUGCCAGCAGCCGCGGUAAUUCCAGCUCCAAUAGCGUAUAUUAAAGUUGUUGCAGUUAAAAAGCUCGUAGCUGAAUUUCGGGAUCAAUACGUCGGUCGUGCUUUCGGGUACGUACUGGCGUCAUUGGUUUCUCCUUUCUGACGAACCAUGAUGUCAUUAAUUUGGUGUCAUGGGGAGUUAGGACUGUUACUUUGAAAAAAUUAGAGUGCUUAAAGCAGGCUUAUGCCUGAAUACAUUAGCAUGGAAUAAUGAAAUAGGACGGCAUGGUUCUAUUUUGUUGGUUUCUAGGAUCACCGUAAUGAUUAAUAGGGAUAGUUGGGGGCAUUAGUAUUCAAUUGUCAGAGGUGAAAUUCUUGGAUUUAUUGAAGACUAACUUCUGCGAAAGCAUUUGCCAAGGAUGUUUUCAUUAAUCAAGAACGAAAGUUAGGGGAUCGAAGACGAUCAGAUACCGUCGUAGUCUUAACCAUAAACUAUGCCGACUAGGGAUCGGACGAUGUUAAUUUUUUAAUGACUCGUUCGGCGCCUUACGGGAAACCAAAGUGUUU